rnacentral:rRNA from 1 species
AACGAACGCUGGCGGCGCGCCUAAUACAUGCAAGUCGAGCGAGAAGACGUAGCAAUACGUUUGUAAAGCGGCGAACGGGUGAGGAAUACAUGGGUAACCUACCCUCGAGUGGGGAAUAACUAGCCGAAAGGUUAGCUAAUACCGCGUACGCUCCUUGGACUUCGGUUCAGGGAGGAAAGCGAUACCGUGGGUAUCGCGCUCUUGGAUGGGCUCAUGUCCUAUCAGCUUGUUGGUGAGGUAACGGCUCACCAAGGCUUCGACGGGUAGCUGGUCUGAGAGGACGAUCAGCCACACUGGCACUGCGACACGGGCCAGACUCCUACGGGAGGCAGCAGUAAGGAAUAUUGCGCAA